rnacentral:rRNA from 1 species
UACAGAGGGGGCAAGCGUUAUCCGGAUUUACUGGGCGUAAAGGGUCUGUAGGCGGACGCGUAGGUGGGAUGUGACACCACCGGGCUUAACCCGGUGCCGCCGUUCCAAACCACGCAUCUCGAGCGAUGCAGAGGUCGGUGGAAUUGCCCGUGUAGCAGUGAAAUGCGUAGAGAUGGGCAGGAACACCAAGGGCGCAAGCAGCCGACUGGGCAUUCGCUGACGCUGAGGGACGACAGCGUGGGGAGCGAACAGG